rnacentral:rRNA from 1 species
GAGUUUGAUCAUGGCUCAGAUUGAACGCUGGCGGCAGGCCUAACACAUGCAAGUCGAACGGUAACAGGAAGAAGCUUGCUUCUUUGCUGACGAGUGGCGGACGGGUGAGUAAUGUCUGGGAAACUGCCUGAUGGAGGGGGAUAACUACUGGAAACGGUAGCUAAUACCGCAUAACGUCGCAAGACCAAAGAGGGGGACCUUCGGGCCUCUUGCCAUCGGAUGUGCCCAGAUGGGAUUAGCUAGUAGGUGGGGUAACGGCUCACCUAGGCGACGAUCCCUAGCUGGUCUGAGAGGAUGACCAGCCACACUGGAACUGAGACACGGUCCAGACUCCUACGGGAGGCAGCAGUGGGGAAUAUUGCACAAUGGGCGCAAGCCUGAUGCAGCCAUGCCGCGUGUAUGAAGAAGGCCUUCGGGUUGUAAAGUACUUUCAGCGGGGAGGAAGGGAGUAAAGUUAAUACCUUUGCUCAUUGACGUUACCCGCAGAAGAAGCACCGGCUAACUCCGUGCCAGCAGCCGCGGUAAUACGGAGGGUGCAAGCGUUAAUCGGAAUUACUGGGCGUAAAGCGCACGCAGGCGGCUUGUUAAGUCAGAUGUGAAAUCCCCGGGCUCAACCUGGGAACUGCAUCUGAUACUGGCAAGCUUGAGUCUCGUAGAGGGGGGUAGAAUUCCAGGUGCAGCGGUGAAAUGCGUAGAGAUCUGGAGGAAUACCGGUGGCGAAGGCGGCCCCCUGGACGAAGACUGACGCUCAGGUGCGAAAGCGUGGGGAGCAAACAGGAUUAGAUACCCUGGUAGUCCACGCCGUAAACGAUGUCGACUUGGAGGUUGUGCCCUUGAGGCGUGGCUUCCGGAGCUAACGCGUUAAGUCGACCGCCUGGGGAGUACGGCCGCAAGGUUAAAACUCAAAUGAAUUGACGGGGGCCCGCACAAGCGGUGGAGCAUGUGGUUUAAUUCGAUGCAACGCGAAGAACCUUACCUGGUCUUGACAUCCACGGAAGUUUUCAGAGAUGAGAAUGUGCCUUCGGGAACCGUGAGACAGGUGCUGCAUGGCUGUCGUCAGCUCGUGUUGUGAAAUGUUGGGUUAAGUCCCGCAACGAGCGCAACCCUUAUCCUUUGUUGCCAGCGGUCCGGCCGGGAACUCAAAGGAGACUGCCAGUGAUAAACUGGAGGAAGGUGGGGAUGACGUCAAGUCAUCAUGGCCCUUACGACCAGGGCUACACACGUGCUACAAUGGCGCAUACAAAGAGAAGCGACCUCGCGAGAGCAAGCGGACCUCAUAAAGUGCGUCGUAGUCCGGAUUGGAGUCUGCAACUCGACUCCAUGAAGUCGGAAUCGCUAGUAAUCGUGGAUCAGAAUGCCACGGUGAAUACGCUCCCGGGCCUUGUACACACCGCCCGUCACACCAUGGGAGUGGGUUGCAAAAGAAGUAGGUAGCUUAACCUUCGGGAGGGCGCUUACCACUUUGUGAUUCAUGACUGGGGUGAAGUCGUAACAAGGUA